AUAGAUGAAACCAAGUCUCAGGGAGGGUAAACACAUUCCCAGAGUCACACAACUUACGCAGAGACGGGCUUUAGAUUUCAGAUCGUGCCCUUAAAGACUAUGUCAUCCUGCAAGAAUUCCGUGGACACAUAGUUACAGGAAAAGAUUCAACAAAAGUCAAGGUGGCAGGUGGAAUUAGCAAGCACCCAGUGCCAGACAGAGCUGCUGGCCCUCAGGGUUCAGAGUUUAGUUCUAAAUUUAGCCUCUGACCUUCUUGUGGGUUCUAAAUUUGGCCAAACAAGUUCUUCCAGCCUGAUCGAUGACGUGGGUGCAUUGUUUUGAAGAUCAAACCUUUUUCCUGGUUAUGAAAGUAAUAAAGUAAUGCAGAAUUUGUUUGGAGAAGCAGCCCAGCUGCCUGUCAACAGCCAUCUGAGAAUAAUCCUGGGCUUACUGACGGUGGACACACGUAGUUACUGACUGAUUUCUUAGGAACAGGGAUUAAAACCAUUUCCUGAACCAAGUCUGAGUUUCUCCUCCUGAGUGAACCAGAAACAGAGCCUCAAGAAAUAGCUAGGACUAACCAGACUCAACCUUAAAAUUGUCCUAAAAUUACUAAUUAGAGCAAAAAAGGACUCUUAAGAUAGUCUUCAGUCCAGGGGGGAAUUGCAGAGUUCUGGGGACUCCUGAGACUCAGUCUCUGGGAAGGCAUCCGGGUGGCUUGACUGGUCCAUGACCACUUAUCAGAUGUCCUGCCUCCACUGGGUUGGAGCAAGCAUGUGACCUUUGUGGUCUGGCCACUAAUGACUGAACAAACAUUGGACCCUGGACCCAGGGGAGACCAUCAACUCUGCUGGCCAGAAACAUACAACUGCUGGUGCUUGGCCUGAAAGGAUGAGCUUGGACAUCCGAUUCCCUCUCUCAGGAAUACACAUGAAGAAACACAGAACAUCUCAGCUGGUGCAAAUACUUGAGCUGAAGGGUCAUGGAUAUUUGGAGCUUGAAUGACCAUGCACACAGAUGUAUAUGGAAGAGGGAUAGGUGGCAAUCUGGAUCCCCAGGAUAGUGUUGAGCAGCUGGAUCAAACUUGACCUGAAAUCCACCCUACCACUGGACUUUUCCAUUACAUGGAUCAACAACUCUUCAAAUUCGUUUUAUUAGGUUUUCUGGGGUUUGGUGUUUGUCUGUUUUGUUUAACCAAAAGGAAUGUCUCUAGAACCUUCUAAGACAUCCACUUUUUACUUGGAAUUGUUAGAGUAGAUUUAUGAUCCAUAGAACCCAAGCACACCACACCACAGCAGGCAGAAGCCCUUUGGGAUAGUUAGGAUUCAAAGCCAUGUCCCUGUAUGUCCCAAGUGACAAGUUCUUUUCUGGUCUGAAGCACUCGGAAGGAGGGGUGAGGAGGUCAGGUCUUGGCUGCAGAACGCGCUGUCCUCAUAACAACCCCCUCUCAGCCUCAGAACUGCUCUUAUCAGGAUCUCUCUGGAGAUCCUGGACAAAGGGUGAAGCCAGGAACUCCUGAGGCUGAAGGGCAGGUCGGGGCCUGGGAGAGAAGGGGUAGAAAUAUGUCUUCCGUUUCCCUUGGGCCCCGCAGCACAGCUGUUGUCCACAGUGAGUUUAGCCAACACUAGGGACAAAUAGCAUUCACUCAGCAGGCUCGGGGCACUCCUGGGGGAAAACCAGUUCUCACCCAGGCAGAGAGGCUUAGCAGUGAGUGACAGUUCUGGGAUGGGAACCUGCAUCUAAUGGGCUCCAGGUGCGGUGCCUCUUCCAAAACACCGAGCGAAGCUCCGCCAACUGCAGGCCUUUUGCUCUGGCCACAUCUGCCCUCACACUUCCCUUCCAGAUGGUUCUGCAGAGGCUCCAAGGAGCUGAUGGCUGAUGAGGAAAAGGAUUAGCCGCAAACUUGACUCUCCCUCCAGCCUCUGCCAGACCCACCAGAGGCGUGGGUGUGUCCAGCCUACCUGGGAACAUCUGCUGUUGUCAUCGGUCGGGGCCGACUUGAUUAGGGCCAGACCCCCUGAGGAUGCCGAAAGCCAAAACAUAUUAAAAGUAAAUUUCCAAAGGAAAUAAAGAAGCAAUAACAAUUGGCCACAUCUGUGAAACUGGGUGCUCGUUAAGUGCCAGGUCCCAGGACCAGGGUGAGCCCAGGUGGUAGACGUCAUAGGUGCUGCCGUCAUCACUGCAAUCCCACCCCCCUCCCAGGAGGUGGGGAGGGAAUCUGUUGUAGGCAGCGAAGCACAGCACCCUUAGGUGUUUCUCUGUCCAUGGGUGGGAGGACAGCACCCUCCUGUCAGAUGCUCCAUCACUGCCCUGCCACCCUUUGGUUCCUACCAGUUCUCGUGGGCCCCCCGGGGAGUCAGUGUACUGGGACCCGGAUUACGGAUUCAAGUCCUGGGCCCACUGCUCAUGGCCGUGGGACUUGGGGUGAGUCAGUUCUCCUUCCUGAGCCUCAGUUGUCUCACCUGCACAAUAUGGGGGGGAGCUGCACCUCUCUGUGGGCCGUAAGUUUAACUAAGGGGGUCACCAGGGGUAUUCUCUUGUUAUUGGUGAUGUUUUCCCAAGUGCAUGCUCUGUGCUUUCUGGGAACAACCGCAGGCUCCUCUGAGCCCACCAGCACCUUGCACACCGCCGCCGGGGGCAACAGACUUAAUGGCCUCCCCAGGGCACACGUACUCUGUCCUGUUCCUCUUCACAGCGUCAGCCAGCCCACAGGGCGCAGCCAGGUCAGAACCUGGGCCAGGCAGGCCUGACUUGGAGCCAAGAUCGGCCCUCACUGGAGGUGACUGUGGGCAGCCUGGCUCCCUCCCGCCAAGCCCCUGGUUCAGCGUCUAUUCGGAAGGAAAAAUUCCUCGUGAAUGUGAGUUAAAGUAGCGCAUGCAAAGCUCUUGGCUUUGUGAGAGGCAGGUGGCGUGCUCGAUGUCAACCCCCUGAAAUUGCUCAGUUCCGACCCCGCACAUCACAGUCGGGCCCCCCACCCCCAGUACCUACAGCCAAAGAAGUGGCUGGUUGUUUGGCACGCUUUCUUCCUCCAUUUGGACAAGGCUGAGCUGGGAGAAUAAGAGCUGUGUCAGGACUUACUCUGCAUUUUUCUCCUUCCCUCUGGGACAGCCCUGACCCCCGGCCCCAGGAGGAAACCACUUCAGCAUCACCGCCCAUUGAGAAUGUGUGUCUAGUGGGACAUAUCACCGGGCUUUAUCGUAUUUAAGGUUCACUGCGAAGACUGAAUAAAUGAAGGAAGGAAGGAAGGAAGGAAGGAAGGAAUGGGACCCCAGCUAGGGCAGUGGAAAGACCACAGCAUCGGGGGAUGAAGCCAUCAAGAGCACUCGCUGAGCAGCUGUUGACAAGCCCCCCGUGAAGACUCCUAAAGUGUUCCCAGAUGUCGCGGAUGAUGUGUGUCUCUGACACGCACGACAGAGGGCCGGGGGCACACCGGCUUCCUCCCCACAGGAGCCCUGGGCCAGAGUCCCGGGCAGAGCAGCUUCACAUUUGCCUCAAUAAAGACAAGGUAGCUUUCCGCCCCCACUUUUCUGGCCUCUCUCGGGGAGAUGUGUCUGCAGGGAGGUGUGCCCGGGGGUGAGCCGCUUAGAUGGCCGGGACUCUGGGACACAAAAUUCGGAGACCCCAAGCUCUUGGGUGGGAUUGGAGGGUCUUGAAACCUUGCCAGCUUUAGAGUCAGAAAGAAAAGCGUCUGAAGCCCACCUUUGCUGUUUACCAGCUGUGUGACCUGGGUCCAGUUGGCUCACCUCUCUGGGUCUCAGAAAUAAUCAGAGAAACUCUUCACAAGGCUGCGGAGAGGGCCAGAUGGGGGAGGGAAUAAACGAAGCUCAGAGAAGCGCCUGGCAUGUGGCAUGCGCUGCUUCGGUAGGUGAUGAAAGGAGAAUUAAUAAUGGCACAUAUUUAUUAGGGCUUGUCGUGAAUCGAACAGUGUCCCCACCCCAAAUUCAUGUCUACCUGGAGACUUAGAAUGUGACCUUAUCUGGAUAAAGUCUUUGGAGAUGUGAUUAGUUAAGAGGAGGCUGUACUGGAUGAGGGUGGCAUCCAGGGACUGCCAGGCGAGGGCGAUGAAUAUCUGCCCCUUUAUUUUUUUCUCUCCUGCAGGGCAGGUCCCACAGCAGACUGGGCAGGGACCAGGGGGCCCUGUGGCCCAUCAGACCCCUUCGGACAAUUCCGAAGAUCAUUCCUGGACUCAGCCGACCUGGAUUUCCUACAAUCGCUGCUGCCGAGCACUUGGGUGCAGAGGCAAGGAGCAAAACCACACUUAGAACACAGCCCAGCAGCAAAGCUCCCUCCCCGGGUCAGGAGUGUUUGACCACCAGGAAAUAAGAACAGUUCAUCUAAGUUUCUUCACCCUUUGUCCCAAGAUGCAAAAAUGUCAGAAAUGUGCACGGCUCUGGCCGCGGAGGGACACUGUCUUGACCCCUCAUCCAUUUCCUGCCUGGGGGCUGAGGGUCGGUGAAGACCACUGCCCUGAGGGUCAGGAGCAGUGGGUGGGCCCCUGCUGGGCUGGGCGCUGGCUGCACAGCUCAGGGUGAGGCCCUCCCCUCUCUGGGCCCAGUUUUCUUGUCUAUAAAAUGGGGGCAGUGGAGUUCCCAUUGAGGCUCAGUGGGAAUGAGCCCGAUUAGUAUCCAGGAGGAUGUGGGUUCGAUCCCUGGCCUCCCUCAGUGGGUUAAGGAUCGAGCAGUGCCAUGAGCUGUGGUGUAGGUCGCAGACAUGGCUUGGAUCUGGUGUGGCUGUGGUGGAGGCUGGUAGCUGUAGCUCUAAUUCGACCCCUGGCCUAGGAACCUCCACAUGCCUCAGGUGUGGCCCUAAAAAGCAAAAAUAUUAAUAAUAAUAAUAAGGGUGGGGGGUGGUAAUGCCUCUUCCAGCAUCUGGCGGAGUUAAAUGCUGGCAGAUGGCACAACCGCAACUGAAGUCAUCCUGGGUUGUUUUCCUCUAUCCUAAGGGGUCAACAACAUGAGAAUGGGCCCCCCCAGCAAUGCCUCCCUCAGCCUGCUUUAUAACAAGCCGGCUUGGCCCUGCUUGUCAAUCCAUUUGACUCUCUAAAUACCAACAUGACCCUGAUUCUUGGAGGAUA